GACGAGGGAUCCUAGCGUUGUUCGGAAUUACUGGGCGUAAAGCGUGCGCAGGCGGCUUUGCAAGACAGAAUGUGAAAUCCCCGGGCUCAACCCUGGGAACUGCAUUUGUGACUGUGAGGCUUGGAGUACGGCAGAGGGGGGAUGGAAUUCCGCGUGUAGGCAGUGAAAUGCGUAGAUAUGCGGAGGAACACCGAUGGCGA
rnacentral:rRNA from 1 species